GUAACUUAGAUGGGAAGUCGGGCCUGCCCGGUGUGACACAAUAAACGGCUGCAAUGAGAGUUGUACUAAGGUAGCGCGAUAAUUUGUCUCUUAAUUGGAGAAUGGUAUGAAAGGUUUGACGCAGAUCAGUUGUCUCUUAGAAAAAAGGUGAAGUUUCCUUUUAAAUGAGAAGGUUUAAAUUUGAAUAAAAGACGAGAAGACCCUGCCGAGCUUAAUUAGGUUUGGUAGGAUUGGAGAGUUGUUAUUAGGUUGAAUGGUAGUUGGGGAGAGCUGAGCUUUAGAGAAUAGGUUCUAAAAGACAAGGAUCCUCUUUAGAGAGAAAAUAGGUAGAAGCUACCGCAGGGAUAACAGCGUAAUUUUUCUUGAGAGAUCUUAUUGAGGGAAAAGUUUGCGACCUCGAUGUUGGAUUAGAAAAACUCCUUGGUGCAGGAGCUAAGGAAAGUGAGACUGUUCGUUCUUUUAAACUUCU
rnacentral:rRNA from 1 species